GACGAACGCUGGCGGCGUGCCUAAUACAUGCAAGUCGAGCGGACCGGAUUGGGGCUUGCCUUGAUUCGGUCAGCGGCGGACGGGUGAGUAACACGUGGGCAACCUGCCCGCAAGACCGGGAUAACUCCGGGAAACCGGAGCUAAUACCGGAUAACACCGAAGACCGCAUGGUCUUCGGUUGAAAGGCGGCCUUUGGGCUGUCACUUGCGGAUGGGCCCGCGGCGCAUUAGCUAGUUGGUGAGGUAACGGCUCACCAAGGCGACGAUGCGUAGCCGGCCUGAGAGGGUGACCGGCCACACUGGGCCUGAGACACGGCCCAGACUCCUCCGGGAGGCAGCAGUAGGGAAUCUUCCGCAAUGGGCGAAAGCCUGACGGAGCGACGCCGCGUGAGCGAAGAAGGCCUUCGGGUCGUAAAGCUCUGUUGUGAGGGACGAAGGAGCGUCGUUCGAAGAGGGCGGCGCGGUGACGGUACCUCACGAGAAAGCCCCGGCUAACUACGUG
rnacentral:rRNA from 1 species